GGGCUAGUACUCAAGUUGGCCGAAGAGGCGUCCCUGCUAAGGAUGUAGGGGGAGCAAUCCCCGCGGAGGUUCGAAUCCUCUCUAGCCCGCCA
rnacentral:tRNA from 2 species